ACCAGAAUACGGCAUCAGAAAGUUGUGAGCUGCUAUGCAGAUGCUGGGAUUCGAACUCAGGACCUCAGAAGAGCACGCCAGAUGCCCAGCCUUUCCGUGAGCUUUAGAAUUACACUCAGCUCUUCCCAAUUGCAAGUGAUGGAAUUAAAGGUGUGCAGUCCAAUGCCACUGCCCAGCUAGGACUCAGGUUUUUAGAGCAGAAUCUGCUGGGAAUCUGGACGAUACAUCUCUACGUCUCUGACAUAAGCCAAUCAUCCACAGCUGAACGAGCUGUGGCAAGAUUCUGACUAUCUCCAUCGCAAGUCAUUUGACCACGUGCUGUCCUUUGACACAUCCAAGGUACAAAGCUACCCACAGUGUGUAAUUAAGGGUUUCGGAUAGACUAAGGUUUUCCCCUGCCAAAUGUCAUUCAUCUGUGCUUGAGUCUUCCAACAAAUACAACCGAAAUAUGAUUCGU
rnacentral:lncRNA from 1 species